UACGAGCGGCCCAAACGUUAUUCGGAAUUACUGGGCUUAAAGAGUUCGUAGGCGGCGCAGAAAGUAGGGUGUGAAAGCCCUCGGCUCAACCGAGGAAUUGCGCUCUAAACUACUGUGCUCGAGGAAUCUAGAGGUGAGCGGAACUGAUGGUGGAGCGGUGAAAUGCGUUGAUAUCAUCAGGAACACCGGAGGCGAAGGCGGCUCACUGGGGAUUUUCUGACGCUGAGGAACGAAAGCCAGGGUAGCGAACGGG
rnacentral:rRNA from 1 species